CAUUUCAAUGGUAUAUAAGGUAAGCUUAGCAGACCCUUCCAUCAAUCUCACUUAGCCAAUUUGAUGAAUUAUGUUUUGAUUAGAUCGCUAAGUGAUUCAAGUUAACUCAUGCCAUUAAGAUUGAUCAGUGUGACUGAUUUAGGUGCCAGAUCGACCAGCAUGACUUUAAUCCGAUUUAAUGACUUGACGAAGUCAGUAGAAGGAUUAUGGUUUACUGGUUGAUCUCUUCUUUUCUCUUUUCUUAAUUCAUAAAUUAAAUCUUCUAAAUUAUUAAGUUUUUUAAAUGAGAUAGUUAUGGUGAU
rnacentral:lncRNA from 1 species